GGUUCCUACGGGGCGCAGCAGUGAGGAAUAUUGGUCAAUGGGCGGGAGCCUGAACCAGCCAAGCCGCGUGAGGGAAGAAGGUACAGCGUAUCGUAAACCUCUUUUGUCAGGGAGCAAAGGGCGCCACGUGUGGCGUUUUGCGAGUACCUGAAGAAAAAGCAUCGGCUAACUCCGUGCCAGCAGCCGCGGUAAUACGGAGGAUGCGAGCGUUAUCCGGAUUUAUUGGGUUUAAAGGGUGCGCAGGCGGAAUGUCAAGUCAGCGGUAAAAUUUCGGGGCUCAACCCCGUCGUGCCGUUGAAACUGGG
rnacentral:rRNA from 1 species